CAGUUGGCUGCGCUCUUCAUCGACA
rnacentral:rRNA from 1 species